UGAACGCUAGCGGCAGGCCUCACACAUGCAAGUCGAGGGGUAACAUAGAGAAGCUUGCUUUUCUGAUGACGACCGGCGCACGGGUGCGUAACGCGUAUGCAACCUACCUCUUACUGGGGAAUAGCCCGGAGAAAUCCGGAUUAAUGCCCCAUAGUAUUACACUUUCGCAUGUUAGUGUAAUUAAAGGUUACGGUAAGAGAUGGGCAUGCGUCCCAUUAGCUAGAUGGUAAGGUAACGGCUUACCAUGGCAACGAUGGGUAGGGGGCCUGAGAGGGUGAUCCCCCACACUGGUACUGAGACACGGACCAGACUCCUACGGGAGGCAGCAGUGAGGAAUAUUGGGCAAUGGAAGCAACUCUGACCCAGCCAUGCCGCGUGCAGGAAGAAUGCCCUAUGGGUUGUAAACUGCUUUUAUUUGGGAAUAAACCUCUCUACGUGUAGAGAGCUGAAGGUACCAAACGAAUAAGCACCGGCUAACUCC
rnacentral:rRNA from 1 species